GGCUGUAUGUAGAAGAUUAAACCACUUAAAAAUUCCAGCAGCCCUAAAAGCUGACUUUGGGCUGGACGUGAUGGCUCUGUAUCCUGGUCAAAACAGCUAGGAGUACACAGAGAACUUCAACAAAACAACAAAAAGAAUUUACUUUGGUACUUAUCUGGACUCAACCAGUCUUUAUCAUAAGUCUUCUUCCACUAUUUUAAUGAAGAAAUAUACUAAGGAAAAAAAAUCACUGAUCUGAAUUGUGUCUUCACAAGUUCAUAUCCUGCCUAUACUUCAGAAUUUAUGAUGGAAGUACCAGAAGAGAACAUCUUCUCUAGCCCUUCUAGAGCUUAUGUUGAGCAGGGCAGGCCUGCCACCAAGCCGGUAACACGACAUCAUAUAAGCAGCAAAGAUGCUGGAGAACUACGAAGCAGAUGGAGAA